AUACUUCUGUCAAACUCUCUUAUAAAUACACCAUGUUUUAGAACAAAUGGUACCUGAGUAGAGCAACUUAGAUAAGUUUUUUUUUUUUUCUCUCUCAUAUCUUAGGUUGAAUUCUAUACCGAAAGGAAACAUGCCGCCCCUCCCUCCAAGCGACUCUGACACUGAUGCUGAUGGAAAACCUGUCGAAAAACCCAGCUUUUGGACCAUUUUGAUAAGCUUAAUCCUAAAUCGUCCCUGUCCCCCAUACAUUGUCGAGCAAGGUGAAAGGCGAUAAAGUGGAAAAUUAGCAGCGAAACACUGACUGGUAAAGGUGGGACAUGACAGUGCUGCAGAAGGAGCUAUAUGUAUAUGUAUGAAGAUGUUGAUCAUGGAUGUGACCAUUUAUAAUACAAUAAUUUAAUGGAUGACAUUCUGGAUCA